AUGGGGCUUAUUCUUGUUCUUUCACAUAUCAGGCGUGGUGUGUGCACAAGAUUCAGGUCCUUUAUGGAUAUGCAAUACAUCCUUCUAUCAUUGGAACCAAGACAUAAGUAUUGUUCCUUGCCCUUUGAGCAGUUACUGACAGGCCUUUGGCAGCAACUGGAUGGGAGCAGGCGCUGGUGUCAGGGCUUGUCCUGGGCCCAGAGGUGCCAGUGGCUCAGGAUGGGACAUGCACUCCUGUCAUCCUCUGAAUGGGUGAAAAGAGCUUACGCAUCUCUUCACUUCAGGAGGCCUUUAUUAACCCCCGGAGCCGUGCAGAGCACUUUUAUGAUGGAUGAAUGCACUUUUUUGGGCUUCAAAAUCUCUACCCUCAUUCACUGCCAUUAUAAAACUUGGAAGAGCCAGGACAUUUUUAAAUAAAACUCCAGUUGUACUCGUCUGUAAGAAAAAAAGUCUGUACACCUAGGAGGGUGACACCCUUUAAGCCCCUUUAAGGUUGAGGAUGAUGAACCGGACAUCCUUCUAGCACGGCAAAAUAAACUAGAAAGGUGAAAUGAAUAAAAACACAACCAGAAAAGCAUCAUAAGGCAGUUUGAAUGAGCAUAUUUGUGAGAGUGAGGUUGGAGAGGUGGAGUGGACCUGGAAGAGAUCCAACCCAACUUGACUUGGCAUGUGUUCAGCAAUGAUGUAAUACACUAGCAAACACGUGUUGAUUUCCUCUCAUUCAGCAGGCAAAACAAAACAAUCAUCAGAUUCACUUCACACAUUUGAGUCCCUCUCCAAAAGGAUCUCAUCUGCAUUAUUGAAUGCUUAACAUGCUCAUGGCUCCCCAUCCCAGUGUUGCUUUUCUACCUCACGCCCAACCAUUCACUCCCAGUGCAACAAAGCUUGAUGUGAAGAUUAAUGAUUGAGUUGCAAUUAAACAUUCUCCUUUGUAGUCACACACAAGAGGAUUUGACAAGGUUUACAUAAGCUAUACUGACACGUAAGCCACAUUUUCAUUCUAAGACACGCACCUUGAGUCAUUGUGUUGGUGGUGAACAGUUUACAGAGUUACCAGGUAUACAGUCCCUUACAAACACACUCACCCGCCCUCCUAAAGAAAGGCCCAUUCACAUUCACAGUGGUGAGCUUUGUUCAGGCCGCUGAAACUACUGCACCUAAUUCUGCUUUUCUGAUGAAUUGCACAUACAGCUGCAGAGUAAACAGCUUCAAAGGCAAAUCAAAACAAAAUAAACCUGGCACAAUCAGUUAUGGUAAUGAUUAAGGACCGUGCAUACCUUGGUAUGAUGGAUUCAAUACUCUCACACAUGCAUGCAUAUUUAUACACCGCGUGUUGAAAGACGCGUAACAACACCCUGAACGCACAAAACAUUCACAUUCACAUUCGCACACCCACACACGCUUGGUUGCUAGUAAACUAAGGUGUAUGCGCUUGUAUGUGCAAAGCUGGAUUUCUUUUUGAACUGCUAAUAUUGAUUGGACUGAUUGAUGAGCAGCACCUGAACUGAUUUAUUUAUUGUCCUGAAAAGUACUAAGCAUUUCUGAGAACGGAUAAAACAGGAGACAAUAAACAAGUGCCGCACCUUACAUGCCUAUAGGAAAACAUAAUUGAGCUUCCAUUCAGUCACUGAAAAUGAUUAUUUGAUUAUAGCCGGCCUAUAUAAUGAAUUCAGAAUAAUGUAAAAAGCAAUUAAACACAGCAUUCCUGAAUUAUUAGUUUCAUUUUGGCAAGACUGGCGCUAUAUCAGGAGACUAUUCCAAUAUUAAGACACAUAAUAUUUGGUGUAGAGAGUCAGAAACACUGAAAACAGGUUUUAAAACAGGCAGCAGUGGAAAUAAUUGGUUAAAUCUCUGGCGUAUAAUAACAAGUUUGCCAACAGACAAAAGGGAAAAACAUGGUGCCAAUUUAAUAAAGCAAAGCCUGUCACCGGUUGAAAGUGAGUAGAGGUUAAUUUGCUCUAGUAUGUGACAAAAUAGUCAGGGUUACUCUGGAAACCAGCAGAUGACAAGUACAAACAGAUGAGAAAAUUCCCAGGUCAGAGUUAAUAAUGUUUACUGCCAGCUAGAAUCAUAUUACUACUAACUGAAAGUGUGGCAGCCAAAAAAUAAAAAAUAAAAAAAUUGAGAAAACUCAUUUUUUGCGACAUUAUACAAGAAAUGUUGACCAAAGUACCUCACACAACUAAGCAGUUUUGCUUUGGACUGUUUAUUUGGAUUCAAUUGUUCUGUAAAUGAUCUAUACUCUUUUAUCUACCAUACACAGUUUUAAACAAUGCACAGGACAUUGCAAAGCUAUAAAGAAGAGGGCAUUUUCAAGAAGACACAGACAGAGCCUUAGCACUGAAUAAUUGUUUACAAUUAAUAAAGCCAGCAAACAGUUAACAGUUCCAUUAGUAAAGUAACCAUAGAAUGUAUGGUACAAACUAGCAAAUCCUUUAUAAAUCAUCCACAUUUGUUGAUAUGUCCAGCUGACUCAGAUUUAGGCUAGUUUUGUUAUGGGUUGGUAAGGGAGGAACUCAAGUGCAGACAGGAUUUUCAACACAAAGGGUUUAUUGAUGACAACAGGGGAAAACAAAACCCACGAGGGGGAAAACAAUAGCUAGGGUAAGGACUAAAUAACCAAACAAGACAGGGCUGACCAGAUAAAGACACUAAACACUAACUAUAAACAAACACUCACGGUAUUACAAAGACUUCUUCAGGGAUGACAAGGAUAAACUCACGAGGCUGACAGGUAGCAACAUAUAUGAGGAACAGUUUGAGGAAACAAUCACAAUGAACCGACAAAAGACAGAGCACACUAGGAGAUCUAAAUAGGGGAACUAAUCAAGACACGACAGGUGGCACAGAUAGGACAAUCACGACAAGACUAGGAUAACAAGGGGGGCGGGGCAAGGGAACGAGACAACACAAGCACAUGGCCCAAAGACAAGGCCAUGUGCUUGUACACAAAACACGGGUCUGUCAUGAUCCUGCCUCUAGACUAGAGAAAAGUCAGGACAUGAUGGCAGGACCAUGACAGAACCCCUCCCUUAAGGAGCGGCUUCCAGACGCUCCCUAAGGGAACAUCAAACGCGGGACAUGACUGACUGGGACAGAGACAAAAACCAACACGACAUGACAAAUAGUAAUAAGGGCAAACAUGAAAACACAACAAUAGGGUUAGGGUGGCAUAUCAAGAAAAACAAACAGGGAAGGGGAGGAGGCGGGACCACAAAGUUCAUGGGGGACAGACCAGGGUGGGUGGGUGGGGUAGGAGUCUUAGGAGGACGGGACGAAGGCUGACAACGAGGGGUUCGGGCAGGUCUGGGUGGUCUAGGGUG
ensembl:lncRNA